rfam:Ipomoea nil DNA, scaffold: scaffold2647, cultivar: Tokyo-kokei standard.
UUUGUUGUCGUCCAUCGGUUAGGAUAUCUGGCUUUCACCCAGGAAACCUGGGUUCGAUUCCCGGCAACGAAA